rnacentral:rRNA from 1 species
AUUGAACGCUGGCGGCAUGCUUUACACAUGCAAGUCGAACGGCAGCGCGGGGGCAACCCUGGCGGCGAGUGGCGAACGGGUGAGCAAUGUAUCGGAACGUAUCCUGUAAUGGGGGAUAACCAGUCGAAAGAUUGGGUAAUACCGCAUACGCACGAGAGUGGAAAGUAGGGAUCGCAAGACCUUACGUUAUAGGAGCGGCCGAUAUCUGAUUAGCUAGUUGGUGGGGUAAAGGCCUACCAAGGCGACGAUCAGUAGCUGGUCUGAGAGGAUGAUCAGCCACACUGGGACUGAGACACGGCCCAGACUCCUACGGGAGGCAGCAGUGGGGAAUUUUGGACAAUGGGCGAAAGCCUGAUCCAGCCAUGCCGCGUGCGGGAAGAAAGGG